AACGCUGGCGGCGUGCUUAACACAUGCAAGUCGAGCGAGAACGUCGACUUCGGUCGACUAGUAAAGCGGCGAACGGGUGAGUAACACGUGGGCAACCUGCCCUGGAGUGGGGGAUAACCUGGGGAAACUCGGGCUAAUACCGCAUACGACCUCAGCACUGCGGUGCUGAGGGGAAAGCUGGCCAAUUCAUGAAAGCUAGCGCUCCUGGAGGGGCCCGCGCCCGAUUAGCUUGUUGGUGAGGUAACGGCUCACCAAGGCAGUGAUCGGUAGCCGGCCUGAGAGGGCGAUCGGCCACACUGGGACUGAGACACGGCCCAGACUCCUACGGGAGGCAGCAGUGGGGAAUAUUGGACAAUGGGCGCAAGCCUGAUCCAGCAACGCCGCGUGGAGGACGAAGGCCUUCGGGUCGUAAACUCCUGUCAGUUGGGACGAAAAGUCGUCGGUCAAUAGCCGGCGAUCAUGACGGUACCAGCAGAGGAAGCCCCGGCUAACUCCGUG
rnacentral:rRNA from 1 species